AUGUCUGCCUUGAACGUGCCCUAUAUAUCUAACUUUUAGUUGUCCACAUUGCAGUCGUGGUCACGCGAAGCACACAUUAGGUGAAACUUUUGAAUUAAAUUUGACAAACUCAAUGCAAACCAGAUUUUUCUUUUUAACUCUAGGACACGUAAACGAGUACACCCAGCUGAAACGUCAUAAACAUACGGAAGACACUGAAUGAGGUCUUGAGCGAAGUUGGCGGUUGGUCUGAUCCGGACGAACACUCCGACCUCGCCGCUGGGACCCCUCAUAGCACCGGUGUAAAAAGAA